rnacentral:rRNA from 1 species
GACGAACGCUGGCGGCGUGCUUAACACAUGCAAGUCGAACGGAAAGGCCCUGCUUUUGUGGGGUGCUCGAGUGGCGAACGGGUGAGUAACACGUGAGUAACCUGCCCUUGACUUUGGGAUAACUUCAGGAAACUGGGGCUAAUACCGGAUAGGAGCUCCUGCUGCAUGGUGGGGGUUGGAAAGUUUCGGCGGUUGGGGAUGGACUCGCGGCUUAUCAGCUUGUUGGUGGGGGAGUGGCUUACCAAGGCUUUGACGGGUAGGCGGCCUGAGAGGGUGACCGGCCAACUUGGGACUGAGAUACGGCCCAGACUCCUACGGGAGGCAGCAGUGGGGAAUAUUGCACGAUGGGCGGAAGCCUGAUGCAGCAACGCCGCGUGCGGGAUGACGGCCUUCGGGUUGUAAACCGCUUUCGCCUGUGACGAAGCGUGAGUGACGGUAAUGGGUAAAGAAGCACCGGCUAACUACGUG